CACGUAGGGGACGAGCGUUGUCCGGAUUCAUUGGGCGUAAAGCGCGUGUAGGCGGCCCGGUAAGUCCGCUGUGAAAGUCCAGGGCUCAACCCUGGGAUGCCGGUGGAUACUGUCGGGCUCGAGUCCGGAAGAGGCGAGUGGAAUUCCUGGUGUAGCGGUGAAAUGCGUAGAUAUCCGGAGGAACACCGGUGGCGAAGGCGGCUUCCUGGACCGACACUGACGCUGAGGCGCGAAAGCUAGGGGAGCAAACGGG
rnacentral:rRNA from 1 species